rnacentral:rRNA from 1 species
AUCUCCUACGGGACGCAGCAGUGGGGGAUAUUGCACAAUGGGGGAAACCCUGAUGCAGCGACGCCGCGUGGGUGAAGAAGCGCCUCGGCGCGUAAAGCCCUGUCAGCAGGGAAGAAAAUGACGGUACCUGAAGAAGAAGCCCCGGCUAACUACGUGCCAGCAGCCGCGGUAAUACGUAGGGGGCAAGCGUUAUCCGGAUUUACUGGGUGUAAAGGGGGCGCAGACGGCGAUGCAAGCCAGGAGUGAAAGCCCGGGGCCCAACCCCGGGACUGCUCUUGGAACCGCGUGGCUAGAGGGCAGGAGGG